rnacentral:piRNA from 1 species
UAGAAUAGCUCAGGUUUUGGAUAGGUUGC